CGCAUGCGCCUUGUCCCCUCCGGCCCGGGGCGGGGGAUGCGGACGGGGGAAGAUGGCGGCCUCGAACAACCCGCGGAAAUUCAGCGAGAAGAUCGCGCUGCACAACCAGAAGCAGGCGGAGGAGACGGCGGCUUUCGAGGAGGUGAUGAAGGACCUGAGCCUGACCCGGGCCCACAGGUUACAAUUACAGAAAACACAGUAUUUGCAGUUGGGACAGAGUCGUGGCCAGUACUAUGGAGGGUCACUGCCGAAUGUGAAUCAGAUUGGGAACAGUGCCAUGGACCUGCCUUUCCAGACUCCUUUUCAGUCAUCUGGACUGGAUACAAGUAGGACAACUCGGCAUCAUGGUCUGGUGGACAGAGUGUAUCGUGACAGAAACCGCCUUGGGUCACCACACCGGCGUCCGCUGUCUGUGGAUAAACAUGGAAGGCAGGUGGACAGUUGUCCAUAUGGCACUGUGUAUCUGUCGCCUCCAUCGGAUACAAGCUGGAGAAGGACCAAUUCAGAUUCUGCCUUGCAUCAAAGUACAAUCACCCCAACUCAACAAGAGUCCUUUUCAGGAGGGUCACAAGACAUGCAGCAAAAAAGAGUCUUAUUAUUGACAGUCCCUGGAAUGGAGGAAAGCACAUCUGAAACAGACAAAGCCCUCUCUAAACAAGCAUGGGACACUAAAAAGACAGGGUCUUCGAGGCCUAAAUCAUGUGAAGUUCCAGGAAUCAACAUCUUUCCAUCAGCUGACCAGGAAAACACUACAACGCUGAUUCCAGCUGCACAUAACACAGGUGGCUCUCUGCCAGACCUGACAAACAUCCAUUUCCCUUCUCCUCUUCCAACACCACUAGAUCCUGAGGAAUCCACAUUCCCAUCCCUGAGUGGCUCGAAUAGCACCGGAAAUCUUGCAGCCAACUUGACUCACUUGGGCAUCAGCACUGCCAGUCAGGGAAUGACAACAACGCAAGCCUCCUCCCGGCAGCCAGCUGUCAGUCCCCUCUCACUGAAUGCAGACUCCAGACGACCACAGUCCCAGCAGAUGUCUCCUACCCUUUCACCUCUGUCACCAAUUACUCAGGCUGUGGCUAUGGAUGCAUUGUCUUUGGAACAGCAGCUUCCACCGUAUCAGUUUUUUACCCAGACUAGUUCCCAGCAACAGCAACAGACCCAAGUGGCAAGUAGUCUGCCUCAGAAUACCCCUUUAAUGCAGACUUCUGGCUUACAGCGAGGAUCACAGCUUCCCCCUCUCUCAGUCACAGUGCCAUCUACCAUCCCACAGUCACCUCCAGGCAGCCAGACCCAACCUUCUAUGGGCAUAGACAUCAACUCGGCUUCACUCCAGCAGUACCGCAGUAAUGCUGGAUCCCCAGCCAACCAGUCUCCCACCUCUCCUGUCUCCAAUCAAGGCUUCUCUCCUGGCAGCUCCCCUCAACAUUCUUCCAUUCUGGGGAGUGUAUUUGGUGACUCCUAUUAUGAUCAGCAGAUGACAGCUAGGCAGGCUAAUGCCCUAUCCCAUCAGCUUGAACAGUUUAAUAUGAUAGAAAACGCCAUUAGUUCCAACAGCCUAUACAGCCCCUGCUCCACCCUUAACUACUCCCAGGCAGCCAUGAUGGGACUUACUGGGAGCCAUGGCAACUUGCAGGACUCUCAACAGCUGAACUACUCCAGCCAUGGAAACAUCCCCAACAUCAUCCUGACAGUGACAGGAGAAUCUCCUCCCAGCUUAUCAAAGGAACUGACCAGCUCUUUGGCAGGUGUCGGAGAUGUCAGCUUUGAUUCGGAUUCCCAAUUCCCUCUGGAUGAACUCAAAAUUGACCCUUUAACCUUGGAUGGACUGCACAUGCUUAAUGACCCAGAUAUGGUCCUCACCGAUCCUGCCACAGAGGACACUUUCAGGAUGGACCGGCUGUAGACUGAGGACACCAUGAGCCUGGGAAUAAAAUUAGUUCCUGGAGCCCAGCUGAACUGAAGAGUCCAAUGGGUUUGUUUCCUUGACUGUUGUCCAGCACCCACUGCCUGUUCGUAUGCCCUGAGCAAACUCGUGUACUUGGCAAAGCAGGAAAGCGGCCUGGCAGCCCAGUGGGCUCUCGGUAGCCGGUUAUCCAAAAAAGCAACUGUAAACACUAUUUCCAGAGCCUUUUUCUUGUUUAAAAUUUCUGAGCACACAAAAAAGUACUAUAAUUCAUUACCUGGUGAGUGUGAAGGAGUGAGUGGAGCAUUCUGAAGCCACUAAAAGUAUAUUGGUGCCUAAGUUGCAGAAAAUUUUAUUUUUAAAUUCUAAUUCUUGUGUGAAAUUCAUAUAGGCAACAGGAAGGGCUGUUGUGUAGCAAUACCUAGCCCAAGUCAGGGUGGCUAUUUUUAUGAUUUUUUUUUAUUCUUGUUCGUUGCCUAUUGAAUAUUCUGUUACUGUUAUUUAUGCAUUUUUUUAUUUAAGUAUUUGGAUAUUAGAAAAGUAGAUAAACUACAUAAGGCCAAUUGAAGCACGCUGCAUAAUACUUAUACAUUACAUUUUGUGAUUUUUAUUCCAGAAAUAUAAUAAUAUAUAUAAUAUUUUAACUAACUGGAAUUUGAAGCCAGAUGCUGACCAGAAGUAAGCAAACCCAGGGCAAGUCUGUCAAGUGUUUGCCAUUUUAUAUAUUCACAUUAUGGU